UACGUAGGCAGCAAGCGUUGUUCGGAAUUACUGGGCGUAAAGAGUGUGUAGGCGGUGCUCUAAGUUUGGUGUGAAAUCUCCCGGCUCAACUGGGAGGGUGCGCCGAAAACUGGAAUGCUUGAACGUGGGAGAGGAAAGCGGAAUUCCUGGUGUAGCGGUGAAAUGCGUAGAUAUCUGGAAGAACACCAAAGGCGAAGGCAGUGUCCUGGGUGGUCGCUGACGCUGAGAGGCGAAAGCCAGGGGAGCGAAUGGG
rnacentral:rRNA from 1 species